UCGUGCUAGACGGGGAGCUGGCGGUGCCCUGAACCCGCAACCCGCCUUAGCGGGGUUGAACUCCCCCUCGAGGUCCGGCUCUGUGGGACUGACGGCAUUACGUGGCGUUGAUGGAAGGGUCCCGCUCGGCGGGGAACGGUGAACCCGGUCAGGACCGGAAGGUAGCAGCCGUAAGCCGCACUUCUCGGGUGAGCGGGGAUUCCCAACCGGAGCCAACGAGUGCCGGCAAGCCGGAGGGCUCUGAUCGACAGGGGGUGCACGG
rnacentral:SRP_RNA from 1 species